CAACCUUUUAGCAUGUUCAAGUAUAUAAGUAAAUCCGAUAGUAGGAUUUUGUGAGGAAGAGGAGGGAAAAUCAGGGUUAGGAACAGUAGAGGGUUCCUUAGGAUUAGGAAUAGCAGGUUGUUCCUCUGUAUUGCGAAGAACUAUUUUAUUUUCCUUGGGAACAAGGGAGGUAGAUUUUGUGGAGGUAGGAGAAGGUUGGGAUUUUUAUGGAGAGGGAAGAGUAGGAGAAGCAGUUUGUAGGGUAGUCUCCAUGGGAACAUGAGAGGGUGCACUCAAGGGAGAAACAUAACUCGGAAAGUCUGCCUCCGUAAUUAAAACGGGCUCCUCCUCCUCCUCAUCAUCACCAUUAUCACCAAACACAAAGAUAGGUGAACUCAAUACCUUCAUAUUUCGAACCCUUUUACUUGUGCAAGGAGCUUUAGGAGCCGGUUGUUUCUUUUUCUCCAUUUCUCCAUUUCCGUAAUCUUCCCUUUUCCUUUUUCUUUUUCUAUUUUUUCUUUUUCAAUUUUUUCAUUUGCAAUUUUUUCAUUUUUCUUUCUUUCUUCUUCUUUGCCGAUUUCAUCCUAUUCACCAUCAUCAUCACUGUGUUCCCUAGAGAUGGGAACAACAAAUUCUUCAUCCUCAUUUGCAUUAUCAACCACAUUGACUCGGCCUUGAGUCACAAUUGCACCCACCACACUUAUGUUCACGUUAUUCAAAGCCUUUGAAUUUAAUAUAUUUCCCAUUGAAAUAUCGAUAGCGGACAAACCUUUAAGAUCAACCUUAAAUUUAAUUAAGAUUUCCGUAACUAAAGCACCAUAACUGUAAUAGCCCUAUUUUUAAAAGCGUUUAUUUAAACGUUAAAUAUAAUUAUUAAGUUAAUUAUGUUUCGCAAAUUCUUAUUUUAUUUGAGUUGUGGAAUGUGUUUUUUUUAUUUGAUUAUAUGAGAUUAUUUCUAUUGUUAUUAUUUUGUAUUUUGGGUUUUAUGUAAUUAGUUGAGCAAUAUUUCGCAAAUUAGAAACCAAGUUGUUUUUUUCGUGGGAAUUCAUGAGGUCGGUUUCCUCUAGUCUUCUUGUGGCUUCUUUAAUUGGGAAACAAAAACCCAUCUUCCUUUCUCUCUCUUUCCCGUGGUACACACAAAACCCCAAUCCCAUGGAAAACCCGAAAACCCUUUCUUCCUUUCUCUUCUCGCCUGAUGUCGCCGAAGUUUUCCUAUCUCGCCGGCGUCUUUAGUUCACCGGAGCCGCGUCGAUCGCCAGUGCUUUGCUUCACUCUCUCCCUCUUCGUCCUCCUCGCGCUUGCCCUGUUUGUCAAUGUUCGUCGGUGUACUGAUGUUCGCCAGUGGACGUCGGUUGGCGGGCUGCUGUUGUCCGUGGUCGAUCGUGUUGCCACCACUACUGUCGAUGCUUGCAGCCUCGCCGUAGCUCGCUCCCCUGCCGUGCGUGUUAUCCCCUGCUCAAUUGAGCAGAGGUAAAUCACCUCUUUAUUACAGUAUUUGAUUUCUUAUUAUAGUUUGCAAAUUCGAAGCCCAAGUUGAUGCUGUUAUUGUUGUUGUUGCUCUGUUGUUUGUUGUUGUUAUUGGUUCGUUGUUGUUGCUGUUGGGCAAAUGCUACUGCCGUCCCAUUCUCUCUCCGCCGAAAUUUUGUUGGUGCUGGGUGUGGGUGAUGCCAACUAAGCCAACGCUAGUACUAGAAUUUGCAGGUUGGUGUAAAGAGCUCGAGAAUGGAAGUGAAUCAAGAUUAUGAUGUCGUCGUAGAUUAUGGAUUAAGUUUGUAUUUAGAUAGCUGAUUCAGGAAUAGUUAUAUAUUUCGUUGUAUACAAUAUUUGGGAAUAUUAGUCGAGUCAUUGGUGUAUUUAAUUAUAUGUUUCCGCUGCGAAGUAAUUUACUUAAGAGUUAAUUGUUGUUUAUGGUUGUCGAGUGUGUUUCAUUAGCAGCUCAGAAGAGCAGGCUGUUACAAGAUGGUAUCAGAGCAACCUUGCGACCAUAUGCCUAGUUGGCUACCUAGCGAGGGUAAAAGAUUCUUGGGAUUGUUUGAAAUUGAUUUGGGAUUAUUAGUGAUUAAGAAUUGAUGAUCGGAAAUUAGGAAAUUCGAAGGUUUAGUGUUUAAGUGUUUGCGCUUUUGCGUGUGCUAUAUAAUUUCGUUUAUGAAGGUGUAUUAUCUUGUAUUGUCUAUGAUAUGUGUUUCGAGAAAAUUGUAUGAUUUGUUGAAGUAAAAGAAUUUCAAACGACAUCUCUACGAAUGAGAUGACUGGAAUCUUAUUCCGAAAAUUUGGCCCUUUCUGUUUUCUUUGCUCCUCGAUUUUGAUAUUGAGUUGAAGUGGAGAUAUAUACAGAAGCUGAUGGUAGAAUUGCGGUUGGACGCCUGAUAUCUUACAAAUUGAGAUUUUUGUUUUAUAUAAAUUAUUAUUUUCAAGUUUCGAGGACGAAACUUUAAAUAAGAGUGGUAGUAUGUAAUAGCCUUGUUUUUAAGAGCGUUUAUUUAAACGUUAAGUAAAAUUAUUAAGUUAAUUAUGUUUCGAAAAUUCUUAUUUUAUUUGAGUUGUGGAAUGUGUUUUUUUUAUUUGAUUAUAUGACACUAUUUCUAUUAUUAUUAUUUUGUAUUUUGGGUUUUAUGCAAUUAGUUGAGCAAUAUUUGGCCAAAUUAGAAACCAAGUUGUUUUUUUCGUGGGAAUUCAUGAGGUCUGUUUCCUCUAGUCUUCUCGUUGCUUCUGUAAUUGGGAAACAAAAACCCUUCUUCCUUUCUCUCUCUUUCCCGUGGUACACACAAAACCCCAAUCCCAUGGAAAACCCGAAAAGCCUUUCUUCCUUUCUCUUCUCGCCUGACGUCGCCGAAGUUUUCCUAUCUCGCCGGCGUCUUUAGUUCACCGGAGCCGCGUCGACCGCCAGUGCUUUGCUUUGCUCUCUCCCUCUUCGUCCUCCUCACGCUUGCCUUGUUUGUCAAUGUUCGUUGGUAUGCUGCUGUUCGCCGGUGGACGUCGGUUGUCAGGCUGCUGUUGUCCGUGGUCGAUGGUGUUGCGCACCACUACUGUCAAUGCUUACACCCUCGCCGUAGCUCGCUCCCCUGCCGUGCGUGUUAUCCCCUGCUCAAGUGAGCAGUGGUAAAUCACCUCCUUGUUUUUAGUAUUUGAUUUCUUAUUACAGUUUGCAAAUUCGAAGCCAAAUUUGAUGAUGUUAUUGUUGUUGUUGCUCUGUUGUUUGUUGUUGUUAUUGGUUCGUCGUUGUUGUUGUUGGGCUACUGCUACUGCUGUCCCAUUCUUUCUCCUCCGGAAAUCUGUUGGUGCUGGGUGUGGGUGAUGCCACACUAACACUAGUAGAGAAAAACGAAAGGGUUGCGGUUAAAAUAGGCCUAAGGGCCGCGUUUUUGGCCAGAAGCCCUUCACUAAAAGUGAAGGGCUGCGUUUUAGGCCCAAAACCGCAGCCCUUCCAUGCAACCCUUCUUUGUAUAAAGGGAUGCGGUUUUGGGCCUCGAACGCAACCCUUCUUUGUAUAAAGGGCUGCGGUUUUGACCAUAACCGCAACCCUUUUGACCCAAAACAAAAUUUUUUUUUGGCAAUGUUUAACUCCUAAAUAUAUUAAGAAAUUUACAACAGGAAAAAUCAAAAAACGAAUCAACAAACAAACAAAACGAAACAAUCAACAAGAACAUCAAAUUACAAUUUACAGUAAAAAAAAUAAAGAGAACAAUUUAAGGCAUUAACUAUUAAAAAAACGAACAACAAUAAUAAUCGAAAUUAUAUAUCAACAAGAACGAACGAAAAUAAAAAGACGAAAUUACAUAACAACAAGAACAAUUGAAAUUUAUAGAUCUGAAAAAAAAAUUAUUGUCGAAAUUUAUAGAUCUUAAAAAAUAAAAAAACGAAAUUAAAUAUCAACCAGAAAAAUGAACGAAAAUGAAAAAAAACAAAAAUGAAAAAACAAACGAAAAUGAAAAAAAACGAACAUGGAAAUUACAGAUCAUGAUGAAACUGAAACCGUAAACUAAACUGAUUCACAAUGUAUGUCAAUCCAAAAACUUCAGCUUGGGUUUGAGAACGUACCAUAUUUUCGCAGGCUACAGAGAAGGAUUAUAUAUUAGUCUAUUAGAACUAUGAGUAACAUUUAAAGCACAAGGGACUAAAUUAGUGCCUACCAUAUUCCUGCGACCAAAAUUGAAAAAUUUGAGGAGUAUUUUUCUAGAAAUGCUCAGAAAAUCUCAUUUCCCAGUCAAUAUUCUGGCAUAAUUUCAUCCUUAACCAUCAAACCUGGUUCUUAUGAUGGUUAAGGAUGAAAUUAUGCCAGAAUACUGACUGGUGGUCUGCGCAAAUGCCUGCGAGAGACGAAGGAGGUUGAGCGUCUAUAGCCGGCGAAGAGGAGUUUGUGGUGAAAAUUUGUUAGAGUGAGGAGAGAGAAAGAUGAGGGCCGCUCAAUGAAAAUAAUGCAUGAGAGAGUUUCAUUGAUUAUAAAGUGCGGGUUGCAUUGUUUUAACCUAAGCCCAUUAGCCCGCGAGAAUUAAUUGUAAAGGGCUGCAUUUUUUAAAAAGCGAAGCCCUUUAUUACUUAAAGGGUUGCAUUUUUGCAUUGACCGCAGCCCUUCGUUCGUGAAGGCCUGCGGAUUUUGGGCUAACCGCAGCCCUUCACUAUUAAGGGCUGCGUUUUUAGAAAAACGCAGCCCUUGCAUCGCAUCCAUUCCGUUUUUUCCCCUAGUGUAAGCCGACGAUAGUACUAGGUAGUUUUUUUGUCUUAUUUUCAUCUUGUGGAUUUUCUGUUGUUAAAUUGUAAAUGUAAUUGAUGUUAUUGUUUGGGUUUUGAUAAUUGUCUUGCAACAUGAUUUCUUCAUUGUUUUGCAAAAAGUUCAUCUAUUUCAAUUUGAAAUCAGAUUUAAGUAUGUUAGAAACAUUAUUUGUAUUUGUGUCUGAUUAGAUUUGUUUCAAGAAACUUAGUUGUUAUGGAGUUGUUGCUCCGUCUUUCUGUUUUCUUAUGGAUGUUCUUAUUAGUUUAAGUAAGUUGUUAGCUUUUGGUUUGAUUUAUUUCAGUAAUUAAGAAUUAUGAGUUGUUUUGGGAAGUUUAGAAUUGGCUAUUGAUUGUGGUUGUUGGAUUGAGUCUUAAUUUUAGUUAGAUUUAUGUUUCUAAGAUGUAGAUUCGGUUUAAAGAAUUUAAGAUUUAGACUUUGGAAUUAUGGUUGUAAAGGAUUUCAAUAUUGGGAAUUAGUUGUGAUUAUGAUUUCUAGUUUAGAUUAGUCUAAAUUUGGUAAUUGAUUAUUGUUAAUUAUUGUGAGGUGAUUCUGGGAAGAUGAUUCUGGAGUGAAGAAUCAUUCGGGAUUAUGAAGUUGAUUGUGUUGUUGGAAUUUGGAAUGCGUUCAGAAGCUUCUCUUGCGUACAUAAAAGAAACCGACCCAGAGAUGGCCGAGCGAUUGACUUCUGCGACUCUGAAGGCGGCUCGGAUCUGUGCCAAGUUGAACGUUAAGACAAUGAAGAAAGCCGGUUGCGCCUAAGGUAUUUUCGUCCGAGCCCAUCUUUUCGUGUUUUUUACUAACACUUGAGUUUUUCAGGACCCGGCCAAUCCAAAACCUAAGAAGCGCAAGGAGCGGGCCGAUGACAAGUUUGCUUUGACUAAGAAGGCUUUGGCCAAGGCUAAGGCAGAGAAGGAGGCUGCCAAGAAGGCGAAGCAAAUAUUAAUGCUUCGGUCGAGGUUAACAGCCCCCGAGAGGGGUCCUGGGAAGGCGAGACAGACAUAUCGCUGCAUGCGUCUGACUUCGUCCCUGUUGGUAGCUCAGUAUAUACCCCUACUCCUUCCCAGACCGACAGAACAACGACUGAGGCGGUCGUCCCUUUUACAAAAAUGUCCAAAUAAAUCUUAACAGUUUUCCAUCAGAAUGACCAAUGUUGCGGAGAACCGCAUACAUUUGUUCGAGGAGGUCAAGGAGUUUAGGGACAAGGAGAAGAAGCACUACGACUCCAUAUGGACAACGAAGGAGGAGAAGCGCGGCUUGCCGAGGCCCGACUGGAUGAGGCCAACAAGAGAAUCGAGAAGGGGGAAGUCGCUUGGAAGACCGAGCGGGACGACUCGGAGAAGGAGAAGAACAAGCUUGAAAUAACCAAGUCCAGCGCCGAGCUCACCGAGACUGAUGCUGAGGCCAAGGUUCCCCAGAUCCAGGCUGAUUUGGAUCGGAUUAAAUUCAAACUGAACACGGUCGAGGCGCAACUGAAGGAUGCCGAGGCGCAGCAGAAAGGAGGUCGAGGAGAAGGCCUUCUAGUCCGAGGAGCAAUGGUUCGCUCAGUGGCAGGCUUCCGAGGCUGGCGAUGAUUAUAACGUCGAGGUUAGCCAAAGCUGCAUUUUGUUAAUUGCAAUCUUCUAUUUUAUAUAGAAAUGCGCAAGUAAUAUUUUUACAAGUAAUAUGUUUCCACAAGCAAUGAAUUAUAAAAGGACUGAAUGGACUGGCUAAGUCCCAUUCGUAUUUAAUGAACGAUAGGGACUGGUUAAGUCAUGUUGCUUACAAACAGUAGCUUAGUAGACUGGUUAAAUCCGACUUAGUACCAAUAAUGCCGGAAUAGCUACAAAAGGACUAGUCAAGUCUUGUUGCUUACAAAAUGAGUUGAGUGGACUUGCUAAGUCCGACUUAGUACUAACAAUGCCGAAUUGCCAUAUUUCUUCGCUAUGGAAUAUCUUUAGCCCGUGCCUCCAUUGCAAGUGACAAAAGCUACACAUAGAAUUUCUUAAGGUUGUCAACAUUCCAUAGUCGGGCCAACGGGACCCCUUCGGGUGAUUCUAACCGGAAUGUGUCGAGUUUGAUGAUCUUGUCACUUAGUAAGGUCCAUCCCAAUUCGCCCCCUGUUUCCCUUUAAGGUGCGAUAGCCCAGUAGCUUCCACUUUCCGAACGACCCAGUCUCGAGUCGGAUUGGUUUGGCCUUUACUCGUCUGUUGAAGUGCCGAGUAAUAUUUUCCUUGUACCGAAUGGAUCGCAACAAGGCGUUGCCUCGGUUUUCAAGUAGCAAAUCCAAGUUACACUACAAGAAUAACGCUCAUCAACGACGGGAAAUCUUGUUGUUAAUGGAGCUUUUCUCGUCGCAGACGCCUUUUACGACGAGAUUUCCGUCCCGUCGUCCCCGGUCGCAAAAGGCUCCGU